GAUGAACGCUGGCGGUAUGCUUAACACAUGCAAGUCGAACGGUCACUUCGGUGAUAGUGGCGGACGGGUGAGUAACGCGUGAGAAUCUGUCUUCAGGUCGGGGACAACAGUUAGAAAUGACUGCUAAUACCGGAUGUGCCUUAUGGUGAAAGAUUUAUUGCCUGAAAAAGAGCUCGCGUCAGAUUAGCUAGUAGGUGGUGUAAGAGACUACCUAGGCGACGAUCUGUAGCUGGUCUGAGAGGACGAUCAGCCACACUGGAACUGAGACACGGUCCAGACUCCUACGGGAGGCAGCAGUGGGGAAUUUUCCGCAAUGGGCGAAAGCCUGACGGAGCAAUACCGCGUGAGGGACGAAGGCUUUUGGGUCGUAAACCUCUUUUAUUAGGGAAGAUUUCAGGACGGUACCUAAUGAAUAAGCAUCGGCUAACUCUGUGCCGGCAGCCGCGGUAAU
rnacentral:rRNA from 1 species